AACGAACGCUGGCGGCGUGCCUAACACAUGCAAGUCGAACGGAGAUAAGGGGCUUGCUCCUUAUUUUAGUGGCGCACGGGUGAGUAACGCGUGGAUAAUCUACCUUGGAAUCUGGGAUAACAUUUCGAACGGGGUGCUAAUACCGGAUAAGACCACGGGCUCUUUGGAGCUUGCGGUAAAAGGGGGCCUCUGUAUAUGCUUCUGUUUUAAGCUGAGUCCGGGUACCAUUAGCUAGUUGGCAGGGUAACGGCCUACCAAGGCGACGAUGGUUAGCUGGUCUGAGAGGAUGAUCAGCCACACUGGAACUGAGACACGGUCCAGACUCCUACGGGAGGCAGCAGUGGGGAAUUUUGCGCAAUGGGGGAAACCCUGACGCAGCAACGCCGCGUGAGUGAUGAAGGCCUUCGGGUCGUAAAGCUCUGUCAGAGGGAAAGAAGUGUAUUUUGGUUAAUACCCGAGAUACUUGUCGGUACCCUCAAAGGAAGCACCGGCUAACUCCGUGCCAGCCGCCGCCGUAACAC
rnacentral:rRNA from 1 species